rnacentral:lncRNA from 1 species
NNNNNNNNNNNNNNNNNNNNNNNNNNNNNNNNNNNNNNNNNNNNNNNNNNNNNNNNNNNNNNNNNNNNNNNNNNNNNNNNNNNNNNNNNNNNNNNNNNNNNNNNNNNNNNNNNNNNNNNNNNNNNNNNNNNNNNNNNNNNNNNNNNNNNNNNNNNNNNNNNNNNNNNNNNNNNNNNNNNNNNNNNNNNNNNNNNNNNNNNNNNNNNNNNNNNNNNNNNNNNNNNNNNNNNNNNNNNNNNNNNNNNNNNNNNNNNNNNNNNNNNNNNNNNNNNNNNNNNNNNNNNNNNNNNNNNNNNNNNNNNNNNNNNNNNNNNNNNNNNCUCAACUGCGUAUCAAAUACAUGCACAUACACCCACACACGCACAAACACGUACACACUAACAUAUAAACGCAAACACUCGCGCAUGCGCAGACCGCCCGCACGGCCCUGGACAUCAUGCGGAGCUUCCAGGACACGCAACGGGAGAUCCUUGCCGGACCCAACCGUUCGGGAAGGGGGGGGAGGGGGGAAGGGGGUUUGGAGGGCAGGGGGGAGGGGGGGGUGGCGGGGGGCCGGCCCAUGUCCCUCGAGAUGGCAGUAGCCUUCCUGAAUAACAACUUGACGUGCUACGAUGAGAGCCUGGAGUUCGCGGAGGACGUGCAGGUGGGGGUGCCUGUGUGUGUAUGUGUGUAUGUCUGUUUGUGUUUGGUGGGAGAUGUGGGUGGGGGGAAAGGGUAUGUAAGUAUUAUAUAUAUGUAUAUAUGUAUCCUUGAUGUGGGGGCCGGGAGUGAAGGUGGUGUGGGAGCUGUUGGUUUAUUAUGUGAGUGCGUUAGGGAACUUUUGGCGCAAAGAUGGAGGGAAGGGGUUUGUUUGUGUGUGUGUUUGGGGAGAGGGGGUCGUUUGUGGAGAGUAGAAGAGUGUUUUCUCUCUCCUUCUGUAUACCUGUCUGUAUACCUGUCUCCCCUUAUCCAUCCCGCCAUUUCCCCCUUCCCCCUUCCCCUCCCCCGCUACAGCGCCAGCUCAGCAAGGCCUACAGGGAGCGACUGGAUGUGGAGGACGUGUGCCGGGGGUUCCUGGACGUGGCCAAAGUACGGCAGUAUGUGUAUGGGGUGGGGGGGGGAGAGGAGAGGGGGGGAAGGACCGGGUACAUGCGCAUGUGUUUUUGUUUAUGAGCUGAGCCGCGAGGUGUAUGUAUGUAUGUGUAUCGCCACCUCCCCACACACCUCCCCCUCCACACACACACUCACUCACCGGCUAUCAUUAAAUCGUCAUCUUCCCCACCUUGCUUCGCAUGACUCACUGGGCGCUGUUGGGUCUCAGUCGUUAGCUUGAGUGGGUGUGAAUGUGUGUACAUGUGUAGAAAUAAUUGUGCUUAUAUGUGUGUAUGUGUAUGUGUGAACGCGUAAUACCGUAAAUUGGACUCUGUGUUUCCCCUCUUUUUUCUAAUUUCGCCGCUGUCAUGGCCCCGUGGCGUACGGCAAUCCACAUGCCGUACAUAUACAGUUGGCGAGUCAACGGGCUGUGCACAUCAUGUUCAACGACCCGGGGCUGUCCAGUCAGGUCAAGAGGCUGUACGGCAACGGCAACGUGGACUACCUUAACGGUGAGCCGUACAAAACCAAGCGAGGGGGAAGGGGAUGAUUUACAAACAGGGGGGCACUUGAAAGGAAGGUCGAGGGGGUGACGGUGUGUAUGUGCGUGUGCGUGUGCGUGUUUUGAGAGUGUGAAUAUCAGGAGUUUGGGUUUUUUUUAGGCAGACGUACGGCCGUUCCUGGCGGCUUUGUGUUGUUGAGAUAGAGCCAGCCAGGUUAGAAGGUGAGGGGGGGAAAGGAUGGGGGGGGAAGAGAAGGGAUGGGGCCUCCAGGGGGGUGGCGGAACGGUGAUGCCAACCACCGCGCGUCCCAUCCCAUCCCGGCCCUCCCUCGCUCACUGAAUGAACGAAUGAAUGAAUGAAUGCUUCAGUUAAUUGGUUUUCACCAGGACAGGACAGGAAUGUACUGGUGUCGUACCGUAAUUGCUUGCCACGUCUUGCCACGCCGUCGUACAAAGCACCACACCUUCUCUUCCUCGCUCUCUUUCACCCCUCAAAAACACGCCGUCACCCACAGGCCGUACCACCGCCACCCUCAUCGCCACCCUCCGCGACUACUUCUCCGACUUCAAGGUGUGGGUCGCCCCGCCGUACUUGAGGCGGCUGGCGGAGGCGGCUCUGGAGGAGCUUGUACGGCGAGCUGUCAACAUGUUCACCGUGGCGCCUCCGCAGGUGGCCAGGGGGUGGGGGGUUGGGUGGGUGGGGCUAUAGGUAAUGGGGGGCCCUAUAGGUAGGCUAGACUUCGCGAAUCGCGACUUGUUACUUGUACGCUUCUAACGUACUUCUUCUGGUGUAUCAGUCUAUAUCCUCCUUGGCAUCGACUUCACUCCUUCACGUGGUUCGGCUCUCCCCUCCCUCUCCCCUCCCUCCCCUCUCCCUCUCCCCUUCCCCCUCCCCUCCUCCUUCCCAACUGCUCUCAGGCUACGGAGGCGCUGGCGAAGCGGAUGGCGGACGACGAGGCGGAUCUGAUGACCUACUUCGAGAGCUACGUGAAGCUGGACCGGCUGCACCGCCACAUCAGCGUCCUCGCGGAUAUGCGGGAGCUCAUGACGGCGGACAGGUGCGGGAGCGCUCGUGCUUGUGUAUGGUGUGUGCGUAUGUAGAUACGUGUGUUAGUGUUAGGUGUUAGGAAGGUGCGAUGGAUGCCUCUCACCUAGCAGCGCCAUGUAUGGGUUUGGGUGUGUGCUUGAACUAACUGAGCUGCGAAACGGUAACAAGGAUUGGGGGUACCACGCUCUUCUUAUUUUGCGGCUGAAGGCUUCAUGGCUGUUGAAGACUACUUGAGCCAUCCACCUCUCUCCCCAACUGGUCGGUCGGUUGGUUGGGUAGUUUCGGUUGGUUGGGUUGGGUUGGUAGGGUUGGUUACCCCCUCCUCCCUCCGCCUCUGUCUCCCCACGGCAGCACCGAGACCUUCGCUCUGGCCUACUCGAACCUGCUGACCACCCGCCACACGGCCUUCACGCUGGAGGUCGUCAACAAGAUCCUGACCAGCUGCAGAUCUGACCUCACAAAGAAACAGGUACGGCACGGUACGGUACAUGGGUGGUUCGUACGGUAUAUGGGUGGUGGUGGUUGCGGGUGGAGCGUGGGAGUACUGGUUCGCUGUCGUGUUUUCCUUUUUUGCUGGGGAGUGCGCCUGAGGAGGGCACCGCAUUCGUCAAAGCUUUCGCAGUGUGUGUCCCGCCUCUCAUCCCCCGUCGCUGCGAAACACCCCAACAUAUGUCAGCGUGUGUGUUUGUGUUUGUGUUUUUGAGAGAGAGAGAGUGUGUGUGUGUCUGUGUUUGCGUGUGUGUGUUGGUGUGCGCCUAAAGACUGCACUGUGCUGUGCGGUCGCUGUGUUGUUGUUCAGAUCUCCGACAUGACAGCCCACUGCAAGGAUCUAUGGCGGCAGCGGGAGGUGGCGAGGAAGGCGGCAGGAGGGGAUGCGGAGAAGCAGCAGCAGCAUAAGGACGCUGAGGGCUGGGGGGCUUUUUUCGGAUGGGGAAAGAAGCAGCCGCAGCAGCAACAGCAGCCGUCAUCAUCAUCACCACCGCACUUGCCGCAGUCCAAGCAAUCAUUGCCACCACAACAACAGCAACACCAACACCAACAGCAACAUGGACAGCAAGAGUCGAAAGAGAAGGGCCAGGGCAAGGAGCAGUCACCGCCACCGCUGCCCAAGGAGAGGGAGAAGGCCAAGGAGCAGCAGGAACAGCAACAACAGCAAGAGAGACAGCAGACUAAGGAUAAGAAGUUAAAGGAGAAAGAGAAGGAUAUGUCACCGAAGGAGGAGCAGCAGGAGCAGCAGCCCAUUAUUAAGGACACUAAGUCCAGGGGGAAGGAAAAGGGACAGGAGGCGGCGCCAGGAGCGACAAAGCCCUCAUCCAAAAAAGUUGGCAACAAGGCCUGACGGAUGCAUGGUGUGGGUGGUGUGAUGAGGGGAACAGCGUCCCCCUCGAGGUUGAUUUGGUUGGUUUUCGUAUAUGCCUCAUAAUCGUCACCUGAUUAAAACAGGAGUAUUGGUCGUGGGGAGGCGGAAGGGGACUGAAGAAGGGAGGAGGGAGGGUGGGAGGGUGGGAGGAGGGACAGCAAAGCACACUCAUGUGUUAAGCCCUGCUCCUGCAGGCGCAGGCUGUCCCGUACUGCAGUAAGGCGAUAUUCACACAUGUUUCAUUUAUCCAAUGGUUCAAGUGACGUAUGACCCUUAAAACACUUAGCGUGUACUGCAGUACUGCAGGCGGUGUAUGCCGUUGUCGUACCGCAAGUUGUAAGGUGGAGGGAGAGGGGGGUUGAGUGAUUGGGGGGACUUAGGGUUGUCUAAACAAUAUAAAAAAUGCCUGAAUGCACGUGUGUAUGUAUGUGCAAAUGAACCGGACCCUCUGCUUGGCUAUUAUGUGGAAACAUAACAUACAAGGGAGAGGAGUGUGUGUGUGUAGAGAGAGGAUGCGGGAUUUCCUGGAUCACGCAUCAACUUCGUGUACGACCACCCAGGUGGGGCCGGGGGGGCGAAGGAGCAUGCAGGGCACGUCCACUAAUGCCUACAUACAGUAACCGCAGGAUCAUCACCUCCCGAGUUACUAGGCCUAGGCUGGGGGGGUAUCUGGCCGAAUACUAAGAAGCUCACGAGUGGGUGAGAGGAGGGAGCCGCCUGGCCCCGGACCCUGGGGAGCUGUGUUGAGCCAGAUCGUGAAGGUUUGGUCUCGUACGUUGCACCAAUUGUCUUUACUAGGACUAGCAGCACUCUAUGUUCCUGGAGCUCGAGGCACGGCUUAUUGUAUCCGCAUGCUAACUAGGCUGGUAGUCCCUACCGUCAAACAACCCAUUUCCCUGAGGACUCACAAACUUGUUUGCCAAGGACCCGACAAUCAGCAACUUCAGGUUUGACAUCCUCUCCUGGCUUUAACUGUGUGCUGGAGAGCUGAGGCUAUAUCGCCAGGGAGGCUCUUGGCCUCUUAAUACCCACCGUGUUGAAGUGCACUGCGCUUGGCAAAGAGUGUUGCCAACGAGAGCCUCUCUGCAACAACUAUUACUACUAGUAGUACUACAUAAACGAGGGAUAAGUACCAUUGCCUUUAUGUUAAAAAGCCAGCAGCAAGGGGCGGCAGGAAGCCCAGCCAGUGCAGUCAGCACCACCUGCUGAGGCAACAGUCCUCGAACUGCCUUUUCAUCCUGUGCCAGCAGGCACCCACUCCUGCCAUUCUUUGUCGUACAUGCGACCACACACACAUGUAGAGACAUGGAGCCGGUGCAGGCUCUGACAGCUCCGCGGCAUUACUUCAUGUCCACUUGACACAUCUAAUCCACCACAAUACAAGUCGAUUCCAAACAUAUGUCCAAGAACCCCUGACUUGAUGUGGGUCAGCCAGCUCCAUUUCGGUGCAGGGUAAACAACCCUUUCCUCCAGGCCAUGCAACAAGAAGGGGGGGAAGUCAUUCCCAUUAGUGGAGCAACAAGCCCAACGUUCAACAUCCCAUGUUUACUUAUUUGAGGACUGCUGCAAAUGUGGCUGAUUCCGCAAGCCUGCCCCAUCAACUCUCACUACGAGAAGAGGCCCAACAUUACUGGCCUUGCUGCUGCUGCAGCUGCCUCUUGAGGGCCUGCUCCUCUUCUUCCAUGUCCUUUGCCUCUUGCUCUGAGGCCAUCAUCUCCCGCUCCAUGUCCUUCAGCUUCUGACUCCUAUCCAGAUCUACCUUACAGGCCUUCACCCACUCGUCCGCCAGCGUUUUAAGUGCAUCACUGCCCCGCUCAGCCUGAGCUGCGACCUGGGAGAUGUCUACACCAGGGUACAGCACGUCGUGCAAAUAGGCGAAAACCUGCAGGGCCAAGGGGAUGUCGGGGGAAAGUUCAGUAGCUGGUUGCCGAAAAGGCCUCUUGGUGGAGGUGCUGGAGGCAUACUUCAGUGUGCAUAUAUUCACCGAGUGUAUGCCGCACUGUACAAUAGGCCAUCCCUGUUAAACAACUGCCUUCACCGGGCCCAUACGUUGCAGCAUAUCAACUCGAAACACUUUUAUCUAUGCAACCAAAUUACAACCAAAUUUGUUGGAACAUUUUCAUGAAGUACAUCUCCUAUCGUCAUGAAGCCCCAGGAAGACGACAUCCGGAACACACAACAUCCAUCACAUGCAUCCCACUAUGCAGCCGAGCGCCCUAUCUGUAAAAGAACUGCCCUCCAAAGUUCGGCCUCACCGUAGCCUUUGGACUCUCGCGUUUGAUGAAUGAAUACAUGAGGUCACAGAGGAAGCUUUUGCAAGCAAAGAGGCGGAACCGGUAGCCACAUGCCCGGAACUCGUUUCGAGUGGGCCGGGGAAGUCCUUGUUUGCUGAUCUCUCCAACCAGCUGCACAGAGGCGAAAUACCACUCCUUUCCAUCCGUGAGCAGCACCGUCACCGGAUCUUUCUUGCCAUUCAGGAUCGCCAGCUCUAUAGCUGUUGCCAUGGGCUGCCAUAUGUCAUAUCCAAAGAUAAUAUGCUUAACCGGCUCCACCAGCAUCACUACCUUGUAGCCUUUCUCCAUAGCUGUCUCCAGAUCGACAUUCCGUGAUGCCCUCAUUUCCGGGGGAUGCACGGAGGACAACAAGCUGCGGACGACCUGCAGGAUCCCAUCACAUGCACAAAACGACACAUGACAAGCUCGACCUGGAAGCCAGGGGUUAAACACGAAAUAUGCCAGCAGCCAGGAACUUCCUAGCCCCCGUCUGACAUGGGUAACACCAGCGCUCCUUCAACACCAGCAAUUAAUACUCCAUAUUCAAGAAGGGGAAUGUCUCCUGUUGCUCAUCCGGGUCCGCCCAUGGAGGGUCCGUUUCACAAGUUGUUCACUAAAGCAAUGGAAUGCUAAACUACCAAACUCUGUGAGGAAGAGUACAUGUGCCGCGAGCCGGGCAGGUUGUAGGAGUGGCAUCAGCAUGAUUUGCAGGUGGCGGAUAGCCCAACCACGAAUGGCAUGGCUGCACCAUUUGCAUACCCUGAGGCAUCUCAUCUCCAGGCAUGGGUUAGCUCACACCGAGCCGCUUAUUGAGAUGCAGAUAGGCUUAAAUAAUAAAUGUAAGAUAAAUCGGUGAUUUGGUGAUGGGAUCACCCCCUAGUAAGGGAACGCGUAUGGCGUGGCUCGCUCACACCGGGGCUGCCUUGUCGCAGCUUUUGUAUCUAAUGCAAUCCACGACUCGAAUGGAGAAAAGCUGCGUAUUACUUUGGCCGAGGCCCCACCUAGCCAUCAGCAGUUAAGAGGUUUCAGGCUCGGUUUUCAGCGCAGGCGAACGGAGGAGGACGACCAUGUCCCAUUGCUAGGCACCAAAAAACACAACGAGUGCCCAAGACACCCCCGUCUGCCACGAACACCCCCGUUAUGCGGAGCUUGUAACUUGGAAUGGACUGCUGAAAACCUAAAAGCGCAGAGGUUGCAACUAUGCUCAUGGACUGGGUUCAUUCGCACAGCCUAGCCAGUCUACAUCCCAGUUUGCACCCUGCCAUGCAGGCAGCUGCCUGCAGGUGGCACUCACCGUACGGCGCAGAUUUCCUGUAUUCCUCCGCCCAUUCGUCCUCCCACCGCUGUUCUCCUUCAUCGGACGAGGCCUCUUCAAACAGAUCCGCGUCCAGAUGUGCAGACUCGUCGGCAAAUGGAUCAUCAGUGCCUGAGGACCAAGAAAAUGGCGUUAGGAAGCACGAUAGUGCACAUUGAUGGCGGCAAUAAACAGGCCCCCACCGGCUGGCAAGAUGACCAGUGAUCCUGGGCCUAAACUUAGCAGCGCCAGUUUGGACAGGAUUGUGUAGAGGAGGAGGUACUGGGGCUCGUCCCGAUCGCGUGGACGGAAAACGGUAAUGUUGAACAUAGCUAUGGUCUCGCUAAGGAACUCCACAAGGAACUUCAGACCAGCAGUAUCAUAUGUUUUGGGAACUCGGUCGGCGAAGACAGAACUUGCGUCAAACAUGCUGCUCUCAGAAAAGGGAAAGUUUCGGGAAACUUCCAUGGCCGAUUGAAAGGCGUCCUCGCUUGUUAUGCGAUUGAUUCCGACACGUGAGAUCUUUUCGCUUUUCUGGGAUGCGAGCUCGCUCUCGCUAGGCCUGUUGCUCAUGGCGUCUUUAGCACAACUGAAGCGCUACCCGGCGCAAAAACUGUCAAAUGUCUUGUUAUUCCAAAACAUUAACAUACAACCUGAUGAUUUUAUGCGCAAUCGGCUUGGUACGACCUUGCAUAGCGUAACGGAUAACUGUAACCUAACCGUGAAAAUGCACGUUUGCCGAGACCAGGACACCGGGAGCAGACCUACUGGAGAUCUCGCAAGGAAGCGAUAAGAUACUUCGCUAUAAUCUUAUUGCUUGGCCAUGAGGUUUGAGUGGCGCAUCUAUGCUACAUGCACACCAACGAAGCGACUUGCAUUUGCGACCGGGCAUCGCCAUCCUGCACGGCUCAGGGACCAUUGUCUGAAUGGACGUUGGUGGGCAAUCGUGGGGAACAUCGCUUGGGAGUUGCCCUGAUGGUCGGAGUAGUAUCACUUUCGCUAACGGAAAAAAGUUGAUCCUCCGGCUUCACCAGACAGCCCCCCCCGUGUCACUCUAUCCGUUUCAAUGUCGUCGCAGCCGUGCUCCUUUAUAUCAUCACCACUGUGUGUGUGUAUUUCGGGGAAAGAACGGCCUUCAGUUUCAGUUUCCGGGACGCGUGUGCAGCACUCUGAACACACGGCAGCCAGGCUUCCGCAUACAUGUCAAAAAGGCACGACCAAUUGCCCCCGGGAUCGAUACCUGUCAGGGUCGAAAAUUCUUCCCAUGGUGGAGGUAAAUGUGCCCCUCGUCGAUCGAUGGUGGUGACCUGGGAUAAAGUUGUCUUGCGAGCCGAACAGGAAUCCGUUGGAUGCUGGUGGUGGGUGCGGAGCCUGAGCGAUCCACUGAGAAGUUGACUAGGGUGACUGGAUGAGGGUGCCCCGAAAUACCGGAGAAGGCAGGGUUUCGCAGGGUAGCUGCCACGGGUGAAGAUAUGCCCCCCUGUUCCACACAUCAUAUAUGCACAACUGUUACUUGUUUGUAUUCAUGUGGAGUACACAAAACCUUGGGAUCCUUUAAGGCUUGGUGCAAAGUGGGAGGAUACUGUUACCUGCCGGUGAGCCCCGAGACUGUGGGGACUGUAUGUAUGUUGUUACAGGGUGGUUAACUUCGCCAGCGGCCCCCUUUCCCUGCUCUCCCCUGCUAGAGGGGCACCCUAAUCCGUCACCCCAUCCGACUUCAGAAUGUAUUCGUUGGGUUCGGCAACUCACCACCAGCAUCCAACCAAAUCUAGCGGAUCAACGGCGCAUCAACUUAGUUCCUGGUCAGCUCGCAAGUUGAUAUUAUCACGUCCUACACCGUCCAUAAGAUGGGGGGCCACCUUCCGUUUCAUUACUCCUCAAACACCCGAGGAGCCGGCAGGCGGAUUUGAACCCGGGUCGACUGGGUCGACUGGGAGCAGAAGUCAGGCCUUAACCUCUGCCAGCCGCCUGCCUAUGUUUUCGACGUCUGUGGCCGAAAAUGCGACGAGUUAUGCCGUGGUAAAGUUAAUGAGCAACUGCAAUUUUCGCAUAACAUGAUAUGGCGUGUGAAACGGAGAACCCUACCAAGCACCCCCCCUUCUGCAAGGCGGUCCGGCCGGCAGCCAAGCGCUCCCUCCCUGGGAACGACUGGGCGGUGCGGCGUGGUGCAAGGAACCUUUGACCCCUCAGGUGGUGGGUGAUAGCUGUGGUUCACUUUUUGGCAUCCAAAG